rnacentral:lncRNA from 1 species
UCGCAAACAGAAUAUCAACCGCCUUGCUGUUGGCGUGAUACUUAUCCCUUUCAUCCUGAGUCACACGAGUAGCAGGAAUCACAUAAGUCACAUCCUGAGUGAUUUCCCAAACCCCUGCUCCCCUACUAUUUAGAUGGGCUCUCAUGCGAGUUUUCCAAUACCGAUAAUCAGAGCCAUCAAAGUAGGGUGCAGCGGUCGAGGAAGAACGCUCAGAGGUCGCCAUAAUAGGUUUCGAAACCGAUUAGGGUAUGGAGAAACCUUAACCGGCUCUGAUACCAAUUGAAGGACCGAAAGGGCGACCAGAGGGGGGGUGAAUGGGAGCCUAUAAAAAUUUUUAAUGAGAAUAAGGCCUAUGUCCCAAACGCAACCCCACAGCACACUGCGCGUUGUAUCGUCAAGAUGACGCAAGUCAACUCGUGACAGGCUCACCCUAGGAACGAUUUGACACGCUCAAGACAUAACGGAAGCAAGACAUGAAAUUACUCUAACAAGUUUGCUCAAAACACAAUUAACCAGAUCACUCCUAGCUAAUCCGUCAACUAAGCAAAAAAGAAAUAAUAAUUUAAAGUGCUAGGCGUGAUUAGCAAAUGAGAGAGCAAAAUAAUUAAUAGUUAGACUUGAUUAGCAAAAGUGACAACUAAUUAAAAGCUAAGCAAGUGACGCAAGAUGACUCACUAAUUCCAAGAAUUAAAAAUAGAGAAAACUUGAACUCACAGUGGUGUCACAAAAUGAGGCAGGACUUGUUCACGUGAAUCAGCCUGGGAGCUUGUUCGGCCUGUGCACCUCGCGUGGGUCACCUUGUGUGCUGCUACUUCACAUGGGCUUGGCCUGCUAGUGCUGCCUUGAAGCUUGGGCCAGCGUAUGUGCAAGCUGGGCUGCUGCUCUACCUUGUUGCCUGGGCCACGAGCACCUGCUUGGGCCGCCGCAAGCUCCUGCGCUAGCUGCACUUGCUCUGGCCCGUGCUGGACUGGACCGCUAGGAGUAGCGUGCUGGGCUGGUCCGCCUAGCCGCUGACGGCCCGCUCGCUGCUGCAACUUGCACGUGCGCCCCGCGUGCCUGUGCGAUCGAUUGCUGCUGCGCUUCUUCCUGCGCACGAACAGACAGAGAGAAACAAGAACACCACGAACACCACUUAAACUUCAAACUAAAAAUACUCCCUCAAAAUUCCAUGAAUCGAGACAAAACUUGAGCUAUAGAUGCGCAACCACAAGUGCGAAUAGAUCCAUGAGAAAGAUCUCAAAAAGCUCAAGUAUCCAUCACGGAUUUUAGAGAAAACCGAAAUCCUAACUCAAAAACGCGAUUUGGGAAAAACUCAAAAUCAAGCCGGAUUCGUGAGGGAUUUGAAAGGAGAUCAUAUCACGAAUGCUCUCCAAGGUCCUAGCAACAUUUCCCUUCAACCAAUCUCACAAGAUUCGGGCUCAAACAUGAUGAACGAAAAAUCCCCAAAAAAUAGUUCCGAAAAUAGGGAAAAAGAAAAACGCUCGGGAAUCAAAGAUUUAGCACGAUUUGAGACAACAAAUAAAGCUAAAUCACGAGAACAUCUUCUAUACAAGAUGAGGACUAGCCUCCUCCCUUCAUCCACCCACUAAAGAUGAAGAAAUCAAGAGAAAAGAGUAAUCACACCCUAAUCCCCCUCUCUCCUCUCACUUUAAGCACAUGACUAGCCUCUAAGCAAAUAGAUAAUGAGUUGCUAAGCAAAGAGGUACUGAAAUAACCAGCCCCCCAUCCCUAUUUAUAGUCCAGGACGAAAGACUAUACUACCCUUACAGCUACAACUAAGAUAACUACCCACGCAGGGGCAUUUUGGUCCAAGUUUUUAUACGUGCAUCGGACGGACACGCCGCCUUCACGACUUUGCUUCGCCUCGACGCAAGCUUCGCGAUGACGCCACGUGCCCUCCUUCUCGAAGCUC